rnacentral:rRNA from 1 species
AGAGUUUGAUCCUGGCUCAGAACGAACGCUGGCGGCAUGCCUAACACAUGCAAGUCGAACGAGACCUUCGGGUCUAGUGGCGCACGGGUGCGUAACGCGUGGGAACCUGCCUUUAGGUUCGGAAUAACUCCCCGAAAGGGGUGCUAAUACCGAAUAAUGUCUUCGGACCAAAGAUUUAUCGCCUUUAGAUGGGCCCGCGUAGGAUUAGCUAGUUGGUGGGGUAAAGGCCUACCAAGGCGACGAUCCUUAGCUGGUCUGAGAGGAUGAUCAGCCACACUGGGACUGAGACACGGCCCAGACUCCUACGGGAGGCAGCAGUGGGGAAUAUUGGACAAUGGGCGAAAGCCUGAUCCAGCAAUGCCGCGUGAGUGAUGAAGGCCUUAGGGUUGUAAAGCUCUUUUACCAGGGAUGAUGAUGACAGUACCUGGAGAAUAAGCUCCGGCUAACUCCGUGCCAGCAGCCGCGGUAAUACGGAGGGAGCUAGCGUUGUUCGGAAUUACUGGGCGUAAAGCGCGUGUAGGCGGUCUGAUUAGUCUGAUGUGAAAGCCCUGGGCUCAACCCAGGAAGUGCAUUGGAUACUGUCAGACUUGAAUACGGGAGAGGGUAGUGGAAUUCCUAGUGUAGGAGUGAAAUCCGUAGAUAUUAGGAGGAACACCGGUGGCGAAGGCGGCUACCUGGACCGAUAUUGACGCUGAGACGCGAAAGCGUGGGUAGCAAACAGGAUUAGAUACCCUGGUAGUCC